CCAGACAAAAUUCCAUCUUCGUGAGACCCAUAGUUCUCCCCUGAAUUUCUGGCAUUUGAUUGUACUUGAAACAGGUUGUAAUCUCAAUUGGGGUCCAAAUUUUUUUUCUUCUGACAGAGUUGAUGGACGAUGGGCUCAAGAAUGCAAAGCGACUGGGAGGAAAAUUGGCCACCCGUGAAAGACAACUGCUGAGGGGAAAAACGUGUUUUGUUGAUCUCUUGCUCAGAAAAGAAAUCCAUAUGAUGUUCAAGAAAUGGACUAUGGAGAGGACAGUCUACCUCUUAUUGAAGUAUUUCCUAAAAUUCCAGU